rnacentral:rRNA from 1 species
UACGAAGGGGGCUAGCGUUGCUCGGAAUUACUGGGCGUAAAGGGCGCGUAGGCGGAUGUUUAAGUCGGGGGUGAAAUCCUGGAGCUCAACUCCAGAACUGCCUUCGAUACUGGAAGACUUGAGUCCGGGAGAGGUGAGUGGAACUGCGAGUGUAGAGGUGAAAUUCGUAGAUAUUCGCAAGAACACCAGUGGCGAAGGCGGCUCACUGGCCCGGUACUGACGCUGAGGUGCGAAAGCGUGGGGAGCAAACAGG